AUUGAACGCUGGCGGCAUGCCUUACACAUGCAAGUCGAACGGCAGCGGACUUUCGGGUGCCGGCGAGUGGCGAACGGGUGAGUAAUGCAUCGGAACGUACCUUUCAGUGGGGGAUAACGUAGCGAAAGUUACGCUAAUACCGCAUAUUCUGUGAGCAGGAAAGCAGGGGAUCGCAAGACCUUGCGCUGAUUGAGCGGCCGAUGUCAGAUUAGCUAGUUGGUGAGGUAAAGGCUCACCAAGGCGACGAUCUGUAGCGGGUCUGAGAGGAUGAUCCGCCACACUGGGACUGAGACACGGCCCAGACUCCUACGGGAGGCAGCAGUGGGGAAUUUUGGACAAUGGGGACAACCCUGAUCCAGCCAUGCCGCGUGAGUGAAGAAGGCCUUCGGGUUGUAAAGCUCUUUCGGCCGGGAAGAAAUCGCACAGGCUAAUACCUUGUGUGGAUGACGGUACCGGAAUAAGAAGCACCGGCUAACUACGUGCCAGCAGCCGCCGCCGUAA
rnacentral:rRNA from 1 species